AGCUUUGCGCAGUGGCAGUAUCAUAGCCAAUGAGGUUUAUCCGAGGCACGAUUAUUAUUGCUAAUUAAAAUGUAAAAGGAUCCCGCUACUCCCCAGCUUAGAGCUUUGCCUGGGUCUCUGCCC
rnacentral:snRNA from 11 species